rnacentral:rRNA from 1 species
UACGGGGGGGGCAAGCGUUGUUCGGAAUUACUGGGCGUAAAGGGCUCGUAGGUGGCCAACUAAGUCAGACGUGAAAUCCCUCGGCUUAACCGGGGAACUGCGUCCGAUACUGGAUGGCUUGGAUUCGGGAGAGGGAUGCGGAAUUCCAGGUGUAGCGGUGAAAUGCGUAGAUAUCGGAAGGAACACCAGUGGCGAAAGCGGCUUCCUGGUCCAGCACCGACGUUCAGGCACGAAAGCGUGGGGAGCAAACAGG